GACGAACGCUGGCGGCGUGCCUAAUACAUGCAAGUUGAGCGCUGAAGGUUGGUACUUGUACCAACUGGAUGAGCAGCGAACGGGUGAGUAACGCGUGGGGAAUCUGCCUUUGAGCGGGGGACAACAUUUGGAAACGAAUGCUAAUACCGCAUAAAAACUUUAAACACAAGUUUUAAGUUUGAAAGAUGCAAUUGCAUCACUCAAAGAUGAUCCCGCGUUGUAUUAGCUAGUUGGUGAGGUAAAGGCUCACCAAGGCGAUGAUACAUAGCCGACCUGAGAGGGUGAUCGGCCACAUUGGGACUGAGACACGGCCCAAACUCCUACGGGAGGCAGCAGUAGGGAAUCUUCGGCAAUGGACGAAAGUCUGACCGAGCAACGCCGCGUGAGUGAAGAAGGUUUUCGGAUCGUAAAACUCUGUUGGUAGAGAAGAACGUUGGUGAGAGUGGAAAGCUAAUCAAGUGACGGUAACUACCCAGAAAGGGACGGCUAACUAC
rnacentral:rRNA from 1 species